CUCACUUCAUUCUCUCUCGUGACAAAUUUUCAACAACAAGCUUGCCCCGCCUUCUUCUUCUUCUUCUUCUUGCUUUUCCAGCGGCAAAAUCAGACGUUCUUGUUCCGAUGCUGCGACAAAAUCUUUUCCCUUUUUUCUUGAUCAAUUCACUUCAAAGCCACGACAUUUUAUCGAUUAAUUAGAUGUUCCUCGACCCUGGUAACAAUGAAAUGGUGUGGUCCAGUUCUCCCGCAGAUGAGGUGGUACUACGCAAUUGACAGUGUUUUUUGGUUGUUUUUCGCCCGACAAUGUUAGUAUUUUUUUAGGGGCUGGUGGGUCACGAUCUAGGAUUUGGUGGCAUUGUGUUUUGGUGGCGACGCUAGAUUUCACCCGACGAGGCUAGAUUUUGGUAUUGCUUUGCAGGCCCAAAAGGGAGGUAUUGAAGGAGAUUUAUAAUUUGUAGUUGUUUUGACUGUAUGAAAACAAUGACAAAUGAACGCUUUGGAGUUUUUGUAGUCGUUUGGUUAAAUUUUAUACUCAUUUUCAUAGUCGAUUCCAGGCAUAGUAUAUAUACAGAGAUCCAAACCGUCGGAUUUUGUGUGGAUAAAAACUUGACAUUGAAGAUUAAUGUGGUUCAAGCCCAUAUUGGGUUCAGUUUUUUCCGAAUGUAGUUGAUUUUUACUUUUCUUGUUGUUCAAAUACAGUUGUUUCGCUGUAGCCGAUUACGAUAAUUUGUAGUUGAUUUCGGUGAUUUUAGAGUUGAUUUCGGUGAUUUUGUAGUUGAUUAUGAUUUUUUUUUUUGUAGCAGUUUUCAAGAAUAUUGUAGUUGAUUUUGUUAAUAUUGUAG
rnacentral:lncRNA from 1 species